AUUGAACGCUAGCGGGAUGCUUUACACAUGCAAGUCGAACGGCAGCGCGGACUUCGGUCUGGCGGCGAGUGGCGAACGGGUGAGUAAUGUAUCGGAACGUGCCCAGUAGCGGGGGAUAACUACGCGAAAGCGUAGCUAAUACCGCAUACGCCCUACGGGGGAAAGCAGGGGAUCGUAAGACCUUGCACUAUUGGGGCGGCCGAUAUCGGAUUAGCUAGUUGGUGAGGUAACGGCUCACCAAGGCGACGAUCCGUAGCUGGUUUGAGAGGACGACCAGCCACACUGGGACUGAGACACGGCCCAGACUCCUACGGGAGGCAGCAGUGGGGAAUUUUGGACAAUGGGGGCAACCCUGAUCCAGCCAUCCCGCGUGUGCGAUGAAGGCCUUCGGGUUGUAAAGCACUUUUGGCAGGAAAGAAACGUCGCGGGCUAAUACCCCGUGGAACUGACGGUACCUGCAGAAUAAGCACCGGCUAACUACGUG
rnacentral:rRNA from 1 species